rnacentral:rRNA from 1 species
GACAGAGGGGGCAAGCGUUGCUCGGAAUUACUGGGCGUAAAGGGCGCGUAGGCGAAAUGGCAAGUCGGUCGUGAAAUCCUUCGGCUCAACCGAAGAACGUCGAUCGAAACUGCCGUUCUUGAGGAUUGCAGAGGAGACUGGAAUUCCCGGUGUAGCGGUGAAAUGUGUAGAGAUCGGGAGGAACACCGGUGGCGAAGGCGGGUCUCUGGGCAAUUCCUGACGCUGAGGCGCGAAAGCGUGGGGAGCAAACGGG